GAUGAACGCUGGCGGCGUGCCUAACACAUGCAAGUCGAGCGGAGAUGUUCAAGGUACUUGUACUGAGGACAUUUUAGCGGCGGACGGGUGAGUAACACGUGAGUAACCUGCCUUGGGCAGUGGAAUAACAUUGUGAAAACAGUGCUAAUACCGCAUAACGUCAUUUACCGGCAUCGGCAGAUGACCAAAGGAGAAAUCCGGCAGAAGAUGGACUCGCGUCCGAUUAGCUAGUUGGUGAGGUAACGGCCCACCAAGGCUUCGAUCGGUAGCCGAACUGAGAGGUUGAUCGGCCACAUUGGGACUGAGACACGGCCCAGACUCCUACGGGAGGCAGCAGUGGGGAAUAUUGGGCAAUGGGGGAAACCCUGACCCAGCAACGCCGCGUGAAGGACGAAGGCCUUCGGGUUGUAAACUUCUUUGAUCAGGGACGAAAGAAAUGACGGUACCUGAAGAACAAGCCACGGCUAACUACGUG
rnacentral:rRNA from 1 species